ACUACGGCUACCUAAGAAAUCAAUCCUUGCUGUUACAGUGCUUUCAUCAGCAAGAAAUUCAAGUAUAGCUAUUGCUGUUAUUGAGAAUUUACCAGACAGUGUUGGGGACAAAGAUCUAAUGUUUUUCCCCAUAAUAUUUGUCUAUUUGGCUAUGGUUGUUAUUAUCAAUAGUUUUGGUUGUUUUAUGACAAUCAAGGAAGAGGAAAAUGACAUUGAACAAGUUAUGGACACCCUUGAAGACAGAGUUGAUAGUGCGGACAAACUUACUUUAGCUAUUAAUCCCUUGGAGCGACUACAUGAUAUACCAAAUACAAAUGACUGCGUUAUGUUGCCAAUAGUACAGUGGUGUACGGCUGUAUGAGGUUACUCCAAGGUUCCAGCACUAUCCCCAUGCUCUUAAAGCUCCCACACUCUCACCAUGCUCUCAAAGCUCACACACCAUCACUAUGCUCCAAGGCUUCCACACUCUCACCAUGCUUCAAGACUCCCACUCUAACGGCGCCAUGCUCCAAGGCUCCCACAACAUCACCAUCACCAUGUUGCAAGGUGAUAAAAACAUUACCUAUUCGCGUGAGAAUCUUCGAUAUUUGUCAAGAGCACUUGACAGGUUUUGAUCUGAUUUUAAUCUGUUGAACAACCAGAUUCAAGCUUUGAAACCACCAAAUGAUCAUAAAUGUACGAUGGCCGAGGAGGGCCACUUCUGACUUCCGACUUCCGACUUCUGACUUCUGAGUUCCGACUUCUGACUUCCGACUUCCGACUUCUGACUUCUGAGUUCCGACUUCUGACUUCUGACUUCUGAGUUCCGACUUCUGACUUCUUAUGCCUUUCCAGCUAAACACGGCAGAUCCCAACCGAUUGCUUCGAUUCUGCAUUAAUUUUGCUUAUAACGUCUAAAUAUACCAUAAUUUUCUUAUCCAGAAUUUCCGAAUUCAUUAUUUUAUUUCAUUUUUCAAUAUUAUGUUGCCGUGUUUCCAACAGUAUUUUCAUUCUUUGGUAGCAAUACUUAUUUUUGAUAUCGUUAUUUUUGAUAAUUUAGUAUAAAAAAGACUAUGUUCAACGAGAUAUUCUCUACACCAAUUGCGAUUUCACUGUCUCAACGGUUUAAAUUUAGCUGUAGGGAACAAUUAAAUUGCAUAAUUAAAACUAAAAUUUAACAUUUACAUAACUUAUUUCUAAAAUUUAGCUCAAGUACUUUCCAAAAGUCCCGAAUUCCGACAGGCUGACUUCUAUACGAUGGCCGAGGAGGGCCACAUGGCCGAGGAGCCCCACUUCUGACUUCCGAGUUCCGACUUCCGACUUCUGAGUUCCGACUUCUGACUUCCGACUUCUGACUUCUGACUUCCGACUUCUGACUUCCGAGUUCCGACUUCUGAGUUCCGACUUCUGACUUCCGACUUCCGACUUCUGACUUCCGACUUCUGAGUUCCGACUUCCGACUUCCGACUUCUGACUUCUGACUUCCGACUUCCGACUUCUGACUUCUGAGUUCCGACUUCUGACUUCUGACUUCCGACUUCUGACUUCUGACUUCCGACUUCCGACUUCUGACUUCUGAGUUCCGACUUCCGACUUCUGACUUCUGAGUUCCGACUUCUGACUUCCGACUUCCGACUUCUGACUUCCGACUUCCGACUUCUGAGUUCCGACUUCCGACUUCCGACUUCUGACUUCUGACUUCCGACUUCUGAGUUCCGACUUCCGACUUCUGACUUCUGACUUCCGACUUCCGACUUCUGACUUCCGACUUCUGAGUUCGGACUUCUUUUACUCCAUUAUUUUGAACUCACAUAACUCGAACUCGUUGCUUUUUCGAAGUAAUUAUUUUUUCCUUUGAGACUUGACUCAUGAAACUUAGCCAACUAACUUAAGUUUGAAAUGGCGGGGUAAGCGGGCUUCUACUGUGGUGGAUAAUGAAAAUUUUGUCAAUUGACAAUAUCAAUUUGAUAAAUUCAGAUAUGUGAGGUUAAUGUUAUCGCCAAAAUAUAUAAAUUUCUUAUCCAUAUGAUUAUAUUGGUGAUUGUUUUUUUCUGGAU